UUUUCUUCCUUCUCUUUAUGUUUGUUCUCUUUUUCCUUCCCUCCAGCUUGACCAUCUGUCUCCACUUUUGCGUCUGUGUAACUACAGACUAUGUACCUAGAGGUUAAAGAACACAUGUCAUCAAAGGAUUCAGUUUUUGGAAGUCAUCUCUGAUCUACGUGAUAUACAAGCUGGGAUGGAGAAAAUUGUGAAAAGGACCUGAAAGUGUUGAUAAGAAAAUAAGAGAAAGAAGUCUUCAAAAAGGGAAGUGAUCUAGAAUUUUCCCAGCAUACUGCUAAAUGCAUUGUGAAACUACAGACUUGGUUUGUUUGCAAUUCACAAAUAGGAGCCUGAAUAGAAGCCAUCUUCCAGAUGACAGCCAGAGGAGAGACUUGUAAUUUGGCAUUAGCAUCAAUGGAGAUAUUCUGCGAUUUAUGGUUUUGGCAAGUAGAGGCCAAGGAAAAAUUGAGAUAUUUCAGUUUUGGAUACAUAGAUUUUUCGGCAAGUUCUCCCACAGCCUGAAACCUGAUCAAAUGCAACGUGGUUGGACUGGUGCCUUGUCAUGCUCUUGGAAUUCCCUCUCGUCCUGCUCCAUAGAAGGCUGCUUUCAGCUAUCCAAUGAUCCUACUGCCAGAGGGAGCAGAAAGAGAGCCAGCAUUAUGGAUGUACUGCAGAGUUUCUUUUCUGUGAUGAUGAAGCUGUUGAGUUAGGAGCCAACCUUCUGCUUCUAGGUUUUAAUUCAUCUUGGCCUACUGUUCAGGUUCAAUGGUUCUCAGAACCUGGUUGCACCAAUUAGACCAGAAUCUCGGGAUCCCUGGGUGGCGCAGCGGUUUGUCACCUGCCUUUGGCCCAGGGCGCAAUCCUGGAGACCCGAGAUCGAAUCCCACGUCGGGCUCCCGGUGCAUGGAGCCUGCUUCUCCCUCUGCCUAUGUCUCUGCCUCUCUCUCUCUCUCUCUGUGACUAUCAUAAAUAAAUAAAUUAAUUAAUUAAAAAAAGAAAAAAAC
rnacentral:lncRNA from 12 species